AAGGACGAACGCUGGCGGCGUGCUUAACACAUGCAAGUCGAACGGUAAGGCCCUUCGGGGUACACGAGUGGCGUACGGGUGAGUAACACGUGGGUGAUCUGCCCUGCACUUUGGGAUAAGCCUGGGAAACUGGGUCUAAUACCGAAUAGGACUCCGGACUUCACGGUCUGGGGUGGAAAGCUUUUGCGGUGUGGGAUGGGCCCGCGGCCUAUCAGCUUGUUGUGGGGUAAUGGCCUACCAAGGCGACGACGGGUAGCCGGCCUGAGAGGGUGUCCGGCCACACUGGGACUGAGAUACGGCCCAGACUCCUACGGGAGGCAGCAGUGGGGAAUAUUGCACAAUGGGCGCAAGCCUGAUGCAGCGACGCCGCGUGGGGAUGACGGCCUUCGGGUUGUAAACCUCUUUCAGUAGGGACGAAGCGCAAGUGACGGUACCUACAGAAGAAGCACCGGCCAACUACGUG
rnacentral:rRNA from 1 species